rnacentral:misc_RNA from 1 species
AUGUGUACAGCGGAACUCAGAUUUGGGAGGAUACACAAGCCGGUCAUUGAAUCAAGAUGAGCUGUGUAAGAUUUGUUUUCUGUGGUGUUGCUGCAAGAUGCAUGAGAGGAGCAUCUGUCAACCUUUCUAGACCAAUGACCAAUGCCGUUGUGGCUCAGAGAUUUGAGACGAGACAGUUUAGAACAACAGCAACACGACAGGAUAUUGAUCAAGCUGCAAAAUACAUCGGAGCUGGGGCAGCCGCUGUAGGUGCAGCCGGAUCUGGUAAGGAAAUUUAUAGAUCCUCUCAACAAAAUCAUGCCUAUAUGGCAAGUAGGCGGACAGAUGUGAUAUGAUAGUAAAAAGUAACUGUGAGCUUGUGCAGAGAUAUUAUGAAAGUCUUGCACAACCACACACUGUCUACCCAACUCUGCUUUGCUCGGAGAGAAAUGGCAUAUGGUUGAACAAUUUUAAUUAUGAAAGUUAUUUUACUUAAUACUAAAAAUUUAUGGAACAAAAAUGGUAUUUGUUUUUUGGGGUAUUUCAAUUAGAAGAAAAAAAAUUAGUCAAAGAAAAAAUGAAAAAUAAAAACUGUAAAAAUUUGUUCCUGUUCUUUUGAGGCUUUUGUCAAAUUUUUUUCUUGUGACAAAUGUUUUAUCAUCUGCAUAAUGCCAUAAGUAAGGCCAAUAAAUGUUAAGUAUUUUGGGCACCACUGCAUUAGGUCAAAUGCUGUCACAUGAAGUUAAUGUUAUUGUCAUGCGUCAAAAAAUGAAAAUUGAGUUAUCCUCCUUUUCAAUCAUGAAUUACCCAUUUGUCACUGAAAACUUUGACAUUAGAAACAAGAUUAUAUUUUUUUUAUUGGGGGAGGGGGGUUAAUGUGAAUAUUUUUUUCAAUAUCUAUCAUUUGAUUUUCAUGUUCAAGUAAUCAAGUUUACUCAAUUGUCCUUUAUUUGAAAAAAUCCACUGUAGGGUCUUGACAUGUAAAUCUCUCAUUGCCAAUUUUUUUUGGGGGGGGGGGGGGGGAUUUAUCCUUUAAUAAUGAAGAUUUUCAAAUAAAAAAGACUUUAAUACAAGAUGCUGAUAUUUUUGUUAUUUGUUUGCAGGGUCUGGAAUUGGAACAGUGUUUGGAAGUCUGAUCAUAGGAUAUGCCAGGAAUCCAUCAUUGAAGAACAAUCUAUUUACCUAUGCUGUCUUAGGAUUUGCAUUGUCAGAGGCCAUGGGUCUCUUUUGUUUCCUUUUGGCAGCUGGUAUUUUGUUUGCUUUCUAGGUAUUGUAAGAGACUUAACAAGAAGAGUUUGAUAGAUGUUAUGAUAUAAAUAAACAUGUGAAACUAC